rnacentral:rRNA from 1 species
GGGGAAUCUUAGACAAUGGGCGCAAGCCUGAUCUAGCCAUGCCGCGUGAGCGAUGAAGGCCUUAGGGUUGUAAAGCUCUUUCACCGGGGAAGAUAAUGACGGUACCCGGAGAAGAAGCCCCGGCUAACUCCGUGCCAGCAGCCGCGGUAAUACGGAGGGGGCUAGCGUUGUUCGGAAUUACUGGGCGUAAAGCGCGCGUAGGCGGGCUGUUAAGUCGGGGGUGAAAUCCCGGGGCUCAACCCCGGAACUGCCUUCGAUACUGGCAGCCUGGAGUCCGAGAGAGGUGAGUGGAAUUCCGAGUGUAGAGGUGAAAUUCGUAGAUAUUCGGAAGAACACCAGUGGCGAAGGCGACUUACUGGACGAUUGUUGACGCUGAGGUGCGAAAGCGUGGGGAGCAAA